rfam:Triticum aestivum genome assembly, contig: Triticum_aestivum_CS42_TGACv1_scaffold_375009_5AL
AUACUACUCCCUCCGUUCUGAAUUACUUGUCUUAGAUUUGUCUAGAUACGGAGGUAUCUAGCACUAAAAUGAGUCUAGAUACAUCCGUAUCUAGACAAAUCCAAGACAAGUAAUUCGGAACGGAGGGAGUAGUAA